UCAAAAAAUUACAAAAAAAUAUUGGAAAAUAAAGUUAUAAUGAUUAUAACACUAAAUCACCGCGGCAACACAAAUUUUUUCAUAUUUUCAUAAUUUUAUCAAUGUGGUUCCAAAUACUUGCUUGAAUUGGUAAACAUUACUAGUCUUACUCUAAAUUCUCUUUUUGAUGUUGUUAUUGGAAGAAAAUUAAACUAAUAAAUAGGUUUUAUAGUUACAAAGAGCCUUUAAAGUUAGAAAAUAAAUUAUAAUAUUAUACUUACAAAUGAAGUUGGAUACAGAAAAUUGAAGAGAAACAAUGGCAAUAAAAAUUGCUUUUUCCGAGUAAAAACACUAUGAACUAUGAAACUACAGAUUAUUUUACAUGAUAUUGUUGAUAUGAUAUUGUUGUCAAUGGCAUCGGCAGCCGGCAGGUCCGCAACAGACCAACAGCCACACAAUUACGUCGUUCUUCUACAUGGCGUACUAUAUAAAUUUGCAGCGCCGAGGGCAGUGCGGACACUGGAAGGACGGUUCCUUGUUGCACUGGUAGCGACGGUGUCUGCGCACAGAGUGAGCACUUUGGUACAUCUUCCCGCAGUCGUCACAGACGUACAGCCAUCCUGCAGUGGCAGUUCGGACAUCAUGAAUUUUUGCCACGUUACAACCAAAAUUAUAUAUACAGGUUAUUACUUUAAACUAAAAAUAAAAAUAAUAUUCCAUUCAAACAAA